AGCGAACGCUGGCGGCAUGCUUAACACAUGCAAGUCGCACGGGCAGGGAAACCUGUCAGUGGCGGACGGGUGAGGAACACGUAGGAACAUGUCCUGAGGUGGGGAAUAACGCCGGGAAACUGGCGCUAAUACCGCAUAUGAGCUGAGGCUCAAAGCCGCGAGGCGCCUUGGGAGUGGCCUGCGUCCUAUUAGCUAGAUGGUAAGGUAACGGCUUACCAUGGCAACGAUAGGUAGGGGUCCUGAGAGGGAGAUCCCCCACACUGGUACUGAGACACGGACCAGACUCCUACGGGAGGCAGCAGUGAGGAAUAUUGGACAAUGGGCGAAAGCCUGAUCCAGCCAUGCCGCGUGUGUGAAGAAGGUCUUCGGAUUGUAAAGCACUUUAAGUUGGGAGGAAGGGUUGUAGAUUAAUACUCUGCAAUUUUGACGUUACCGACAGAAUAAGCACCGGCUAACUUCGUGCCAGCAGCCGCAGUAACAC
rnacentral:rRNA from 1 species